rnacentral:tRNA from 1 species
GGGGAUGUGGUCUAGUGGUAUGACGUGUAAGCAUCAUUGCCUCCUUAACGUCUUCCGACAGUCAACUAAUAAAUCUGCAGUUCCUUAGCAGUCGUUCUCAUACGAUUGGAAAAGGUUCUGGGUUCGAUUCCCAGCCUCUCCA